GAUGAACGCUGGCGGCGUGCCUAAUACAUGCUAGUCGAGCGAACAGACGAGGAGCUUGCUCCUCUGACGUUAGCGGCGGACGGGUGAGUAACACGUGGAUAACCUACCUAUAAGACUGGGAUAACUUCGGGAAACCGGAGCUAAUACCGGAUAAUAUAUUGAACCGCAUGGUUCAAUAGUGAAAGACGGUUUUGCUGUCACUUAUAGAUGGAUCCGCGCCGCAUUAGCUAGUUGGUAAGGUAACGGCUUACCAAGGCAACGAUGCGUAGCCGACCUGAGAGGGUGAUCGGCCACACUGGAACUGAGCCACGGUCCAGACUCCUACGGGAGGCAGCAGUAGGGAAUCUUCCGCAAUGGGCGAAAGCCUGACGGAGCAACGCCGCGUGAGUGAUGAAGGUCUUCGGAUCGUAAAACUCUGUUAUUAGGGAAGAACAAAUGUGUAAGUAACUAUGCACGUCUUGACGGUACCUAAUCAGAAAGCCACGGCUAACUACGUG
rnacentral:rRNA from 1 species